UUAAGUUCAGCGGGUGGUCCUACCUGAUUUGAGGUCAAGUUUAUCAAAUCCAACUCUUAUAUAGCAGCAGAACCCUCGACCAGAUGCAGAUAUGUAUCACAUCUUAAUGGAGAGGUCGUUACCACUCAUGUAUUUCAGGGGAGCAGACCGCAAGAAAGAGCCUGCAUAACCCCCAAUUCCAAGCCACACCCACCUGUGGU
rnacentral:misc_RNA from 1 species